rnacentral:miRNA from 1 species
UGCAAGAAAGUCAUUUGAA